rnacentral:lncRNA from 1 species
AGCUAACGUACGUAGGCUACUGCUCAGGGUCAAAAAUGUUGUUAUACGAUUAUACCAUAUAUGAUAUUAUACGAUAAAAUAAAAGGUUUCCUAAGGUAAAGGGAUUAGCCAGAUCUUGGUAUAAAAUAAUAUAGAGCUACCAUCUGUGUACCUUAACGACCCAUAUAAGUGAGACAUAUAGAUGCCCCACAGGAUUGCUCAUUAUUAUAUCAGCAUUGUGUCGUGCACCACUUGCAGGAGGAGGGAAGCAACCCGGGGCUCUCAUCAUUAAUGGUGUUCUUAUGGCACACCAUCCUUUUUAAAUUGAUAGCUUCAAAGGUGGUAAGGCCUCUAGGGCUAUUUACAUGUCUUAUUAAAGUAGCAUCUCCCCAGUUUAUUAUCAAAUCUUGCUCAUAUGCCUUUGUCGACAAGGAAGUUGUUAACCUACCCGCAGCUAUAGCCGCUCUGUGCUCCCAUAUUAUCUUUUCAAGGCUCCUAGAGAUGCUUCCAAUAUAACAUUGUUCUAUACCUUCAUCAUUAUUAUAGAGUAGAAUGGAAUACAC